UGCCGGGUGGUGAAGUGGUAUCACAGCGGCCUUUGAAGCCGUAUUCCUAGGUUCGAAUCCUAGCCCGGCAA
rnacentral:tRNA from 1 species